rnacentral:lncRNA from 1 species
UUGAGAAGCAAAUUACAAAAUCAUAGUUACAUUAAAGUAUUAUCCAGACUUUGAAAUCCAGAAUUUUUCUACUCGAGAAAUGUUACAAUAAUAAUUUUUUUUUUCAAGUUAAAUUUUGAUGCAGAGCAUAAUUUCACAUCAAACUGCUGUUUAAACAUGUUCAAGCAUGAUCAUGCAUUUCACUCUAGACACUCCAAAUCCAACCAGAGAUGAUAAAGAUUUUAUAAGAAAAAAAUAUUUAAAAUACAGAUUUGCUGAAAGAAGCAAUAAGAAGAGAAACAGUUCAACAAGUAAGUUUGA